GCGAUCUCCUGUCCUGCUCAUCUUGCUCAGGUAUGAGCCUGGUGUGUGACAUCGUGGGGAGAUGGCUGUUUCCUUGAGGAUGUGAGGCUGUGCUUUACCUCUGUGUAAGGGGAAAAAGUCCCUCCCGAAUGGGAUCUGAUGUGGGUGUUCUCUCUUUUUUCUUUUUUUUUUUUUUUUUUGCUAGGAUUGCUGGCACUGGAAAAAGAGAGUCAUAUGUCCCGAAAAGCCCUUCAAGCCAGGGAGACUAGCCUGUAAAGGAAAAUAAGUUGAUGUAACUUACUUGGGAUUCUUCCAGAAAGUUUUGACAAAGUCCCUGACAAGACAAUGUUAAAAGAAAUAUCAUUAAAAUGGUUAGAGAACAACAAACAAGCUUCUCCUGGGGACUAUGAACUGCUGAGAGUCAGCAGAACCGGGGGAGGAAUAAACAGCCAGCUCUCAGCAUGGGGAGGUCUAGCAGGUGGGUUAUCUCCGCCUUGGUGCCGGUGUUGUUGUAAAUAGACACAUAAAGUUUAUGGAAGGAAUGAUGAGCAAUGAGGUGACACCAUUUGCAGCUGAUGCUAUUUGUUUGAGUUGGACGAGACUGUCCUGUGGUGAAGGUACGGAGUUUGGAGAGGCGGUGCUGUUUUCCCAAAGGCGGGUUCGUUCACCUGGUGUGCUAUACGGCAAAAUGCACACGGAGCGGAGGCGUCUCGUUUCGUAUUUGCACAAAGACGGGUGCUGGGUCGUAACUCCACGAAGCUAGCACGCCGCACCAAGAAACUGCAAGGAUAUCGGUACUGCAGAAGAGGAUGAAAUUAACUGGAAACACAAAACAACAUGCACAGCAAGGGAUGGCGGGAGCUGCCACCUGCACCACCGGCUGACGGAGCAGAGAACAUGGAAAAUGUCAGCCUGCGGCAGGCUGUGAUCCAGUGAGGGCUGCUGAUGGCGUGGGUCCAGCCUGCCCCAGCCGCUGCAUCAACCUGAGCUCCUUACAAUAGAGUUACCAACACAAAUGUGACGAGUUUGGGGUGGUUUUCAUUGCCGGCUUCAAUAAUGCCCUGCCCCCUGCUCUGGAGGUGCCUGCUCAAGCAGGGGCGGUGGAGGAGACGAUCUCCAGAGGGCCCUUCCAACCCAUAUUGCUCUGUGAUGCCCUUCGGUGUUUUGUUAAGGCUUUCUUAAUGAGUUUUUAAUUCCCCGUUUUUAAUAACAGUGGCUGAAGUGAUGCUCACAAAAGUGUAUCUUCCUUUAACCUCCUAACUUUCACCUAUACAAAGGCCUAUCUUCUCUUAACAUCCUUAAUGCUGGUUUUUAUCACACUGUGGGCAACGACCCCUUCUCUAAAUAACACUUUUCAUUACU